rnacentral:sRNA from 1 species
GUCAGCACCCCGCACUGAAGUGACGGGGCUUCAUGCCUCUAGCUUCAGUUAGUUGACCAGCCCAAGUCUUAACUGACUACGUUACCUGAGUCAAGAUAAACAGGUUUACCUAUUUCAACUGGCUCUGGAGGGUUAACUAAAUUCAAUCCUUCCCAUGUUUUUCUGGUGAAAAUUCUCCAAUUGCUUGCAAUCUUUAUUAAAAUUUGACCUCCCAGGAAGGAUUUUAAGAUC